rnacentral:rRNA from 1 species
GCGGAGGAAGAGACACCACACCGGAUGCCCCCAGAAGGGGCAAGCGAAAAGGGCGGAACCCAAGCGCGGAAACGCGAUUUGCGUCGCGUGCUGUCGCGUGUSGGCGCCGGACUAUGCCUCCGGGAACCNUCCGACGAAAUGGCCAUGAAGCGGGCUGCCUUAGGCGGNUNAGAGACCCNAUCGGAGGCUACCGAGGCAGGGCGGCGUCCGCCGGAGUCGAACUGUUUGANAUCGCAGUUCCAACGGUUGGUGAGCGCCAUCCAAGGUUAAACACGAGCGGGAAUCCGAUAGCGAAGAAGUACCGUGAGGGAAAGCUGAAAAGGACUUUGGAAAGAGAGUGAAAAGUACCCGAAACCGCGCUUGCGGAACCGCUUUNGANGACGUCUCGGACGCGAGUCCGUCCGCCAGCGCCCGGCGCGCCUUUGGGAGUCUUCCCCUCGGCGUCCGCGCGCGGCCCUCGGACCAUUUGUCGCAAGC